CAAAGUUCCAAUGUACCCUCCCCCAAACACACACACACACAAACUAUUGCAAGCGCCUUAACUAGAGCUCAGUCAGUUUGUGUAAUUUCAUCCAAUGGUUUAUGUAAAAACUAACAUUUAUCUACGUGUUUGAAGCCAUUAUGCAGUGGAACGCUGGCAACAAAGCUCUGCCUGAUCAACACUAUAAAUGAUAAAUGAUCCGUACUUGUAUAGCGCCUCUCAGAGUAAGGACUCCAAAGCGCUUUACACUACAGUGUAUCAUUCAUCCAUUCACACACACAUUCACACAAUGAUGGUGAUGAGCUACGAUGUAGCCACAGCUGCCCUGGGGCGCACUGACAGACGCGCCCCACUAUUUAAUUCAGUCAUUUGUUGUUCUUCCAAUCAAUUACUAACCAAAACCUCAUGCUUUAUGCUAAACAUUAAAUGAUUUUCAGCAUACCAAUCUUUACAGAAAACAUAAAAGCCCUAAAAAAAACUGCACAUAAAAUAUAUUUUAAAAACGAGAUUCACCUAUCACUUAGAGCAGUUGUUCCCAAACUUUUCAGCCUGACCAACAAAUGUUCCUUCGUAUUUUUACAUUAUAUAUAUAAAUCUCUUAAAAUUUUAUAUUUUACUUUUUUUAUUGAUUAUGUGGCACUCUUGACUUCCAUAUAUAACGCAUUUGCCUCUGCCUCUAUUUUACGACUUUUUUUUUUACAUUGUCGCUACUUCUGUCACGUUAGCGGUGUUUUACCAUCAUUUCUACAUCCAUCACGUCCCAGAGAAGGUUAAACCAACAUCAAACCCAACGUUUGGAGCUUGUAAACUCCACACACCUCUCGUGCAGCACCAGCUGUCUGAUGCUGCAGCAGCAUCAAUCGUCCCAGCUGGAUGAGUGAAUUUCUUCAUCAGAGUCAAUAUUCUGCUUCAUAAUCAGAGUCAGUCAUUACCAGACAAAGUGAUCAGUCAACAAAGACCAGACCUGCCGGCAAUUAUACGUUUUAGCCAAUAUUUACGCUCUUCAUGCUGCGCGCAUCUCCUCCUCUCCCUGACUGGGAGCCUCUCGGCGGGAGGCGUUUUUCAAACUCUAAAAACUCCCAAACUUUGCUCAGCCUGAAGGUUCCACAUCUCCACUAUCUUCUGGUGUAAAGUAGUAACUUCAUGAGGGAUCAUAUUUGUAGAUGAGACUUGUUAAAGUCAGCAAUGAGGCUUUGGUGCUUAAAACGAGUAAGCCCCAACACUGACAACAAUGUACUGAAACUAGAACCAACAUGCAUAAACAGACAGAUCGGUCCCGCCUACUUACACUGUUGGUCUUUUUUAAAUACGCAGUAAUCGUUGCUUGUCUUUUUCGCUUCAUCCUGCAUCCUAGCAACAACUCCUUUGGCGCCUCUGUAGUCUGUUUGUUUAUGUCAUGCUGCAUUCAGUGUAAUUGAAAAAGGAGCUUCAAGCGCUUAACCUCCGAUUUUGUUUUCUUUGUAGCCUUAGUUGGGGGGGACGGAUCAGGGUCGAUCUGAAUCUGAGGGGGACAGAUCCCCCCCACCCCCACCCUAUCUGCGUGCCUUUACACGAGCGAACUGUGACCUGGCGUUGUGAUUUUGCACUACUUAGAUGUAGCCAUCCUUACGCUGACAAAAAUCUAGAAGAGAAUCCAAGGAACAUGCAGAGAUGCCAGAGGUUUCUAGAAGAGAAUCCAAGGAACAUGCAGAGAUGCCAGAGGUUUCUAGAAGAGAAUCCAAGGAACAUGCAGAGAUGCCAGAGGUUUGGCCUUUGCAUGAUGAAGUCUAGAACUUCAGGGUACAUGCAUGACAUGAGUGCCAUUGGUUUUUAUUUUUGUUUGCUUUUGACUGUGUUGUCAGAAAUCUGACUAACAGACUGACAUUUUUGCAACUAAACACCACUUUCCAUGGUUUUUCUUACAAGCAUGCUGAGAUCUGAUCAAGUACGUAUUUUUGACAAACAUAUUUCACAAAUCAGGAUGACAUAACGCCUUCAGCGUUAGCUAUGCUUUCUAACAACGUAUAAUUUUGUUGCUUGCAUAAAUGUCACUGCUUCCUGACCUAUUCCCACCGGCUGCAUGCAGUCCACCAAGGGUUAAAUUGCCGCUAAUCCCUUCUGAGUAUUUUCUCUUCUUUCAUUAGAGGAACAGCGGAGUACUGCUGUCGAUAUUCUAAGACUUAUACAUGGUAAGGAAUCGCUCGUGAUCACAUAAAAUCUGAUUUAGGUGAGAAAUGUUAACCCUUUGAGUGUUGUGCUUCAGCGCUAACGCUAGCUUUGUAAACUGUCAGCACUGAAUGUUUGUUUUUAAUGAGUUUAAAUGUGUUUUGCAGACCCGCUGACCGCCACAUGGAGAUGGUGACCGAGAUCGUUGUUCCCACCGUGUGCACACUUUGUAUUCUGCUCAGCACCAUCUUCCUUAUGUUCCUGCUGAGAAGAAGAAACUAGAAAGUGUGUGUGUGUGUGUGUGUGUGUGUGUGUGUGUGUGUGUGUGUGUGUGUGUGUGUGUGUGUGUGUGUGUGUGUGUGUGUGUGUGUGUGUGUGUGUGUGUGUGUGUGUGUGUGUGUGUGUGUGUGUGUGUGUGUGUGUGUCCUUCGCCAGUCAGGUCUGGUGUCCUCCCCUGCUCCUUUCUGCUCCUCCUCUCAGUUAUUGUUUUCACCUGUGCCAGUUCUCCACACACCUGCUCCUCGUCUCCUAUCACUCCAGCCCCAGUGUAUAAAACCCUCUCCUUGUCUCAGUGUUGUGUUGGUCCAUUGUGCUUCUGUCACUCUCUUCUCGCGUUAUCUCUAGUGCUUCCAGUGUCUCUUAGUUUCUUGUGUUUUUGGAUCUCCAGCUCAGCUUUUUGGAUAUUUUGCAGUUUUGGCUGCAGCCCUUUUGGAUUUAUUUUUGUUUUCAUUCAUCCUAAAUAAAAGGAUUUUACUUUAUCUCCACUUCUCCCUCGUGUCAUCCUGGGUUCUGCAUUUUUGGGUUCUAACCACCUCCUAGCUCGUAUCGUGACACCAUCUGAGGGCAUGUCAAGCAGCCCAGCUCAGAGGCUGAUGUCUCGCAGAUUGAGGACCCCACUUCCAAAGGCUGAUGCGCUCCUGGAGCCAAGUGUGAUCACUGGGGUUCUAGACAGACUGCGGGUCAAACAUCAAAGCUCUGGUAUGACAGGUCAGCCAGAGAUCUGCCUGAGUUGAACAUCGGACAUGACAUGAUGAAGCCUUUGCCCCGACACAGGACAGGCAAGUGGAGAAGAGGAGUCUUUAUGCAGCUAGUGGGUCCCAGAUUGUACCUGGUGGAUGUGGAAGGAACAUACUACAGGCAAAACCACGUCGAUCUACGGCCAGCAGAGGUUGGAGGGACAGAGCUAUGCCACAAGCAGCACAGUGAACAGCGGGUGCCAAAAAAACUGAACCUAUAGCAAGGACUGUAGACAGUAUCUGUUGUUAAAAAAAUGGAAUAUUGUUCAUUUAUAUGAGUUCAUGUUGUAAUGCUGUGAAAUACUAAAAUGCACUUGAGAUGUUACCUAAUAACACACAAAAAAAGGGGUGGAUGGGGGUGUUAUGGGAUGAUGUUCAGUUAAUGGUAGCACCCUCCUCCCUCCUGUGUUGUGUUAUAGAAUGAUAUGGCCCAAGUGAGGAAGGGAAGUGCUAUUAUUGUAUUGGUGCAAGCUCUCUAAAUGAGCUCUUUGAUUAAACAUGCUUCAUGCCUCCAUUGUUUAUCACACAAUCUCCAGCCCCCCAGGUAGGUCCAAAAUAAACUGGAUCAGUCACA